rnacentral:tRNA from 1 species
GCGAGUGUGGUGAAGCGGUUAACACACCCGGCUGUGACCCGGUCAUUCGUGAGUUCGAAUCUCAUCACUCGCCCCA